rnacentral:rRNA from 1 species
GAUGAACGCUGGCUACAGGCUUAACACAUGCAAGUCGUGGGGAAACGGCAUUAUGUGCUUGCACAUUCUGGACGUCGACCGGCGCACGGGUGAGUAUCGCGUAUCCAACCUGCCCCUUACUUGGGGAUACCCCGUUGAAAGACGGCCUAAUACCCGAUGUGUUUCAUUGACGGCAUCCGAUAUGAAACAAAGGUUUUCCGGUAAGGGAUGGGGAUGCGUCUGAUUAGCUAGUUGGCGGGGCAACGGCCCACCAAGGCGACGAUCAGUAGGGGUUCUGAGAGGAAGGUCCCCCACAUUGGAACUGAGACACGGUCCAAACUCCUACGGGAGGCAGCAGUGAGGAAUAUUGGUCAAUGGGCGGAAGCCUGAACCAGCUAAGUAGCGUGCAGGAAGACGGCCCUAUGGGUUGUAAACUGCUUUUAUGCGGGGAUAAAGUGAGGGACGUGUCCUUCAUUGCAGGUACCGCAUGAAUAAGGACCGGCUAAUUCCGUGCCAGCAGCCGCGGUAAUACGGAAGGUCCGGGCGUUAUCCGGAUUUAUUGGGUUUAAAGGGAGCGUAGGCCGUGGAUUAAGCGUGUUGUGAAAUGCAGGUGCUCAACGUCUGCACUGCAGCGCGAACUGGUCCACUUGAGUGUGCGCAACGCAGGCGGAAUUCGUCGUGUAGCGGUGAAAUGCUUAGAUAUGACGAAGAACUCCGAUUGCGAAGGCAGCUUGCGGGAGCACAACUGACGCUGAAGCUCGAAAGUGCGGGUAUCGAACAGG